ensembl:antisense Gm20324 predicted gene, 20324
GCAUCCACAUGGCCUCAGGUGUUCGCGCGGCUGCUCCGCCAGCCCCAGCCGGCCCCUCCCCGGCCCGCUCCAAGCCCGGCCCUUCACGGGUGCCUCGCCCCCAGCCCCCGGCCAAGAGGCCAGCAACGCCGGUCCCCGCGGGGCUGCCAAGAACGUGGACCCCUCAGCACCUCAGGCCGCAACGACCAGCCUCUCCUGUGAAAGGGUCAUUCACUACCAAAGCUGUCCCGACGCCUAGGUUGGAACUGCUGCCUUAGAUGGCAGUACCUACUGUGUGCCCACCCCUCUGCUAUGCAAAAUGAAGCUAAUAAGGAGAGGGUGAGGUUGGACUAUUUAUACCCUGCUUUUGGCACACUCAGAGACCUCUCCACUUUGGACCUCACAGAUGCAAGAGGAAGGAGAAGGUUUGAAUUAUGUGUCCCUAAAACUACUGAUUCUAAACUAAGCCUGCAUCCAGCCUAGAUGUUGGGGAGUCUGUGGCUUCCCCUCUAAAGCAACCCAACUUGAGAGGAAACUGGAAUCCAAACAUGCUUUGGGUGUAAGGUCUCACUUUGCCUCACGGGGACAAGAAGGAUACCAGAGAGCUCACGAGGAACAGGAUGCAGAGAAACACUGGGUCCAGUCCCUGCCUCCUUCCCUACGCUCUCAAGGACAACUGCCAAGCACAUGUGUGAUGCCUUGGGAACAGAAAGCAGCAGGAAUCAUGGAUUCUCCAACUCACCACCAGUCCUUGACUCCAGCCUCUCUUUUGUGAGCCACUCAUCCUUACCGCCAACUCACUGCAGUCCCAUGAGCACUUCUCCCUGGCUAAACAGUGUGCAGUGGCUUCCAAAGUCCCACUCUCCUGGACACAAAGCCCUCUUGGCUUAGCUCAAAGUGCCAACCUCCACUCCCUUGUUUCAUUGUAUCUGCCAAACCAAACAAGUUGUGUCCCUGGCCUAGCCUAUUCCCAGAGGCAGAGGAGCCUGCCUCCGCAGAGACUAAGGUAUUUCUACCUUGCUUUUUCAGGUCCAACUCAAAUGCUGCCUCCUUAAUAACCAUUCAUUCAUUCAUUCACUCAACACUGGCUGAGUAUCAUAUUCCAAGCAUUGAAUAAAGGGUCCUUGUUGUCAUUGA